CAGCAGCCGCGGUAAUACGGAGGAUGCAAGCGUUAUCCGGAUUUAUUAGGUUUAAAGGGUGCGCAGGCGGAAUAGUCAGUCAGUGGUGAAAUCCUACAGCUUAACUGUAGAACUGCCAUUGAUACUGCUAUUCUUGAGUACAGUUGAGGUAGGCGGAAUGUGUAGUGUAGCGGUGAAAUGCUUAGAUAUUACACAGAACACCGAUUGCGAAGGCAGCUUACUAAACUGUUACUGACGCUGAGGCACGAAAGCGUGGGGAGCGAACAGGAUUAGAUACCCUGGUAGUCCACGCCGUAAACGAUGAUCACUCGUUGUAUGCCUUUUUUGGUAUGCGACUGAGCGAAAGCAUUAAGUGAUCCACCUGGGGAGUGCGUUCGCAAGAAUGAAACUCAAAGGAAUUGACGGGGGCCCGCACAAGCGGUGGAACAUGUGGUUUAAUUCGAUGGUACGCGAGGAACCUUACCUGGGCUUAAAUGUAGAACGACUUUCGCCGAAAGGCGAUUUUCCUUCGGGACGAUCUACAAGGUGCUGCAUGGUUGUCGUCAGCUCGUGCCGUGAGGUGUCGGGUUAAGUCCCAUAACGAGCGCAACCCCUAUUGUUAGUUACCAGCGGAUAAUGCCGGGGACUCUAACGAGACUGCCACCGUAAGGUGAGAAGAAGGUGGGGAUGACGUCAAAUUAGCACGGCCCUUAUGUCAAGGGCUACACACGUGUUACACUGGCCGGUACAAAGGGCAGCUACC
rnacentral:rRNA from 1 species